rnacentral:miRNA from 1 species
GGCGGCCUCAGAAUCUCAUCU